UACGUAGGGUGCAAGCGUUUGUCCGGAAUUAUUGGGCGUAAAGAGCUCGUAGGCGGUCUGUCGCGUCGGUCGUGAAAACUUGGGGCUUAACCCUGAGCUUGCGGUCGAUACGGGCAUGACUGGAGUUCGGUAGGGGAGACUGGAAUUCCUGGUGUAGCGGUGAAAUGCGCAGAUAUCGAGAGGAACACCUGCGGCGAAGGCGGGUUGCUGGGCUGACACUGACGCUGAUGCGCGAAAGCCAGGGGAGCGAACGGG
rnacentral:rRNA from 1 species